rnacentral:lncRNA from 1 species
CCGCAGCCAAAUGCAUUGCACACUGGCGCCCGCCCUCCUGUCAACCCUGCGGCCCUGUCCAGGUAGGCCAUAUUUUUAUCCUUGUUUUCUUUCUCAAAUACUAGUGUAAAAAAACGUUUACAAAUUUAUCCAAGUAAAAAAAAUGGGAGAAUAUUAAAUAUGCGCACAAUCUUGAUAGAUAGUGUAUUGUUGCGAACUGAGCCUUUAGGUUGUUCUUUAGUAUAUUUUGUAUUUAUUCUAGAAUAUAAUGAUGAUAUUCUUUUGGUGACAGAUGAGACAUCCAUUGAUACCGAGAUGCCUAAGUGAUUUCAACAAUUUCAAAAUCCGACGGCUUAGUCUUUUGUACUCCAUUCGUCCCUAAAAGCUUCAAUUCCUAUAAUCCGUUCCAGUCAAAUUUUUUAAAGUUUGAUUAUUUUUAUAGAAAAGAGUAUCAAUAUCUAUGACAUAAAAUAAGUAUCUUAUAAAAAUAUAUUUUAUGAUAAAUCUAAUGGUACUAAUUUGAUACUGUAAAUCUUAGCGUUUUUUCUAGAAAUUUGGUCAAAGUUUAAAAAUUUUGACUUAAUAACUCUAAGAAUUGAAGCUUUCAUGGAUAGAGGGAGUGUAUAAUAAUCAUAAGUGUACAGCGUGCACAUAUAUUGUUUUUGUACCAUGAUUCACGAAAAAAAGUUAUUGUAUAUUCCUUGUUAUUUAUCAAACAAUCCCCUUUAAACGCGUGGAUGACAACAUCUGUACAAGCAGUAAUUAAACUGAUUAGUAAAUUGAGUAAGGAUAUAUGUGUUUUUAUAUUUUCUCUUAAUAUAUCUUAAAAUAUCUAGAGUACACUGAAUUCAAGAUGAAACACUACAUUUCAUAAUGGAGAAAGUAGCAUGCUAAAUUUUAGUAAUAACUAUAAUGGCAACAUUUAUCUCACUAGUCAAUGCUAAUAGAUCUAGGUGAAAAGGUGGCCUGUUAACACUAUCUACCUGAUCCAUUCUUGAUAAAUUUGACAGACACAGACUACCUAUUAGUACUAAGGAUCAAACAAACCCUGUCCGUGUUUGAUUCGCUUGUUUGGUGUUGUGGAUGGUCUACAAACAUUUCAAUUUUGGGUUGUGGGUUUAUCUUUUACAAUUUAAAGUUGAAACUAACAAGCAAACAUUUUUUUCUAUAAAAGAUUCUAUAUUCCAUAAUUCAGCUUGUCUAGAUCAACAAUCAUCUCCCUGCCAGGAUUUGUUUGUUCACCUUUUGACCCUCAGCUUUCACAAUCCAUGAUCUACAAAUUACUUCUCACAAUCCAAAAUCAGAGAGAGAGAGAGAGAGAGAGAGAGAGAGAGAGAGGAGAAUGAGCUAAAAUGACAUUUGACCAUAAUUAGUUUUGUUGAUUAAAAAACACUAUUUGCUACAUACUUACAUUCACUGCCAAUAAUGCCCUUUCUCCUCUAAUUUGUGGUCUACACGUCGACCUUGCGGGCGAGAUCGUGCAGGUGGGUUCACCUGCCCGGAUGGCGGAUGCCUCCGGCUUCGACUGCAACCAGCGGCUGUGCAUCCACCGCAAGCGAGAUUCAAAACGGGCUGGCUGCUUGACCCGUCUUGUUCGUUUGAUUGAUAAGUUAUGGUAGAAGGUACUGUUGGCUAAUUUAUUAUGAGAGAUAAACACUAUUGAGUUGUUAUGAGAGAUAAACACUAUUGAGUGGCUGACAGAUUUAGCUGCUAAGGUCAAGCUAAGGCCUUGUUUAGUUCUAAAAUAUUUUGCAAAAUCGACACUGUAGCUUUUUCCUUUGUAUUUGACAAAUAUUGUCCAAUCAUGUACUAACUAGGCUCAAAAGAUUCGUCUCGUCAAUUUCGA